GGUGACACAGUGACAGAGUGCGGGAGGGGGUGACUAGUGACAGAGUGCGGGAGUGGGUGACUAGUGACAGAGGGAGGGAUGAGGUGACUAGUGAUCAUCACCCCCUCCCUCAUUCUGUCACUAGUCACACCCUCCCCUGUCACUAGUCACCCAUCCCUCACUCUGUCACUAGUCACCCAUUCCCUCCCUCACUCUGUCACUAAUCACUACCUCACUCUGUCACUAGUCACCCUCUCCCUCACUCUGUCACUAGUCACCCUCUCCCUCACU